UACGGGAGGCAGCAGGGGGAAUAUUGCACAAUGGGCGCAAGCCUGAUGCAGCCAUGCCGCGUGUAUGAAGAAGGCCUUCGGGUUGUAAAGUACUUUCAGUCGUGAGGAAGGUGUUAAGGUUAAUAACCUUAGCAAUUGACGUUAGCGACAGAAGAAGCACCGGCUAACUCCGUGCCAGCAGCCGCGGUAAUACGGAGGGUGCGAGCGUUAAUCGGAAUUACUGGGCGUAAAGGGCACGCAGGCGGUUAAUUAAGUUGGAUGUGAAAUCCCCGGGCUUAACCUGGGAAUGGCAUUCAAGACUGGUUAGCUAGAGUCUUGUAGAGGGGGUAGAAUUCCAUGUGUAGCGGUGAAAUGCGUAGAGAUGUGGAGGAAUACCGGUGGCGAAGGCGGCCCCUGGACAAAGACUGACGCUCAUGUGCGAAAGCGUGGGGAGCGAAAC
rnacentral:rRNA from 1 species